UAAUUCAGCAGGGUAGAGUGUGACCCUGUGGUCUUCCGAGUCUAUAAUUGAGUUAUGACAGGCUGGGUCUUAUGCAGGCAAUAGUGGCUUCUGUGAGGUCAUGACAGUUAUAUCUGUGUCACUCUCAGAGGAUAGCAUUUCACAGCUCUUUCCCCAGUCUUCUACCUCUUACAUUUUUUUUCUAUAUUUCCUUUUGCCAUGUUCCCUGAAACUUACAAGGUGAUAGAAGUGUCCUGUUCAGGACUGAGUACUCUCAAACUGUUCUGUUCCAGCUUCAUUCCUCUAUACCUUGCAACAGAGGUAGGAGAUAUCUUCAAAAAUAGGCUCUUAUCAACUAUCUAUAAUGGCUAACCAAGAGGAGUAAUAUUAUUUUGGUGACAUUAUUGACCAACAACUCAUAAAGGUGGUACUAGGAUUUUGUUUAAUAACUCAUGACAGUAACAAAAGCAUUAUCCAGGG
rnacentral:lncRNA from 1 species